GACGAACGCUGGCGGCGUGCUUAACACAUGCAAGUCGAACGGUGAAGCGCCUUCCUUUUUGGUGGGUGUGGAUGAGUGGCGAACGGGUGAGUAACACGUGAGUAACCUUCCCCCUUCUUCUGGAUAACCGCAUGAAAGUGUGGCUAAUACGGGAUAUUCUGGGUCUGUCGCAUGAUGGGUCUGGGAAAGAUAUUGUUUCGGUUGUGGAUGGGCUCGCGGCCUAUCAGCUUGUUGGUGGGGUGAUGGCCUACCAAGGCGGUGACGGGUAGCCGGCCUGAGAGGGUGGACGGUCACAGAGGGAAUGAGACACGGCGAGGACUACUACGGGCGGCAGCAGUGGGGAAUAUUGCACAAGGGGAGGAAGGAUGAUGCAGCGACGCGGCGGGAGGGAUGGAGGCCUUCGGGUUGUGAACCUCUUUCGCCAGUGAAGCAGGCCUGCCUCGUUUGUGGGUGGGUUGACGGUAGCUGGAUAAGAAGCGCCGGCUAACUACGUG
rnacentral:rRNA from 1 species